AGUGAACGCUGGCGGUAGGCCUAACACAUGCAAGUCGAACGGCAGCACAGUAAGAGCUUGCUCUUACGGGUGGCGAGUGGCGGACGGGUGAGGAAUACAUCGGAAUCUACUUUUUCGUGGGGGAUAACGUAGGGAAACUUACGCUAAUACCGCAUACGACCUACGGGUGAAAGCAGGGGAUCUUCGGACCUUGCGCGAUUGAAUGAGCCGAUGUCGGAUUAGCUAGUUGGCGGGGUAAAGGCCCACCAAGGCGACGAUCCGUAGCUGGUCUGAGAGGAUGAUCGGCCACACUGGAACUGGGACACGGUCCAGACUCCUACGGGAGGCAGCAGUGGGGAAUAUUGGACAAUGGGCGCAAGCCUGAUCCAGCCAUACCGCGUGGGUGAAGAAGGCCUUCGGGUUGUAAAGCCCUUUUGUUGGGAAAGAAAGGCAGCAGGUUAAUACCCCGCUGUUCUGACGGUACCCAAAGAAUAAGCACCGGCUAACUUCGUG
rnacentral:rRNA from 1 species